rnacentral:miRNA from 1 species
UCCCAGGGUCUGGUCAGAGUUG